CCGUCUUCUUCUUCUUACUUGAGAAGCAAGGAAGAAGCUGUUACCACAACCAUGAAGCCCAUAGAACCAUGCGAACCCCUAAACAUGACAAAAGAAGUUCAGGAGCUUGGCGAUAAGACGAACAUGGUGAAGAAAGCUCCGGAAGAUCCAGAGAUUGGUGUGUUUGGAGCUGAGAAGUACUUCAACGGAGACAUGGAUUCAGACCAGAGUUCUAGUGUUCUGUCUCUGGCAAACACAGAAGUUGAGAGAUUCGUUGUUGAUUCCAAGCAGAGCGAGAAGAGGUCUACUGGAACUCCGAGUGUCCGCUCUGACUCAAGCUGGAAUAGUCAGAGCAUAUUACUUCAGAACAAAUUGGUUAAUAGCUGCAACAGUUCCUUGCAGGAGAAGAAACACAAUAGUGAUCACAUUCCAAAGGUGAACAAUAGUAAGAAGAGUUUUAUCUCAAACCUAAGGUGUAAAUGCGUGUGUACUGAUGAGAACUCAGUCGAUGUCGAUGAUAAGAUCUCAGUUAAGAUUCAGAAGCAAGAAGAGUUGGUGCAGAGGAAGGCUCCUGAAGUGUUUGGUUCUCCUCUACACAUUGAGAAGAGGGUUUUUGUUCAGAAGAAGCUCACAUUACCUCCAUGGGAAUCAAGAAUAGAGGAAGAAGACACAAAGAGUGAUUCCAGCUCGGAUCUUUUCGAGAUAGAAAAUCUUACAGGGAAACCAAAACCUAUUCUUGGAAGGCAAGGAAGCGAUCCGGCUUCACCUACAUGUUAUGCUCCAAGUGAAGUUAGCAUAGAGUGGAGCAUAGUGACAGCAAGUGCAGCAGAUUUCUCUGUUAUGUCAGAAUGUGCAACAAGCCCUGUAAGAAGAAACCGAUCUUCACAGAUUCCUCAGAUCCCUACUAAUACUUACAUCGAUAAAAACGCACCGCAGAGGCAGAAAUCAAGUAGCAGCGGAAAGGGUGGUUUCUUGAGCUGCAAGAGUCAUAAAUCUGUUAUGGUUUCUAGUGAUUCAGACAGAAGAAGUAGCAUGAACAAGACAUCCAUGAGUUAUGUCCCGAGGUUCCCAAUGGAGACUACUAAACCUAAGAGUUUUGAAACACGAAGAAGGGUCAGCAACAGCUCCAUUACUCAUACACCAUCAUCUCUUCUGUACAGUCAGUAUUGAUUGCACAGAAAGUUAAAAAAAAAAAAGAUUUCAAUCUAUGAUAUCCUCUUCUUAUCUGUAAUGGCUAUUGAGUGAGAGAAGAUUUGUAAAUUUUUUAUAUAAUGUCUUAUUGAUUUCGUCUUGAUCAUAUAAGGUCAUCUUCCUCUCUUUGCACCCUAACAAAAGCAUACUCAAAAAGUGACGUGUGGUUAGAAAGUUAAUACAACAUUCUUCUCAGUUAAAAAUACAUACAUAAUGAAGCAAAAUGAUUACACAAUUAGCAAAAAAUGUCCCUACCACGUUUUGUUAUUUUUGGAUUUAGUCUUAAAAUAUAGAGAUACAAGUUUUGUCUUAAGCCUUCAAGAGUUUGUCACAAAGUAUUAAUUAGUAAACUUGAAUCAAUAUUCAAUGAAAGUGUCAUCUUACCUAACAUAUCUAAGAUCAUGGUCCUGAUGGACAUGCGUGUUUGAGAUAAAGGGAAAGAAGACAAAGAACCUUAACUGUUUGAUUGAAAAAUAGGUAUGAAGUAAUGUGAGAUAAGAACCAAAGGGAGGGCCUUCCUUACUAAGAUAAUAAAUGCAAAUCAGAUGUAUGUCUUUGUAGCCAACUCAUAACCUGAAAAGACUGAAUUUACCCAAAGUGAUCUUAUCCACACUCCAUUGAACCUUCCCUUCAAAAGAGAAAAUUAAGAUUUCAAGAAGCUACAUGGAUGAAAGAAAGAUGAUGAUCCCAGACAUCAAAGCUAAAUACAGUAUGGGUUUGAUUAAAAACCAAGAAUAUCUUGAUGAAGAUAAGUAUUGUAAAUUUGUAUUUUUCUCAAAAGAGAUGGGGAAAUAAUUGAGACAUCACUUAUUUUCUUAUAAAAUAGUGGAGCUAAAUUGAGAAAUCAAAACGUGAUCUGACUACUCAAGUCUCCAUAUGUGGUAGAGAAAAGAACAACAAGAGCAAGAAGACAUUUUGAGUUAAACAAAGGCAGAACACAAAAAAAAUAAUACUCGAGUUUGGUUUCUUUGUUGGCCAUGUAAGGCAAGUAGGUAAGGAGAAUCCAAUCCCACAUGACAAAGAAUGUCUAAGAGAAGUUAUUUUUAAUUCUUUCGGAGUUCGUGGUGAAACAUUCACUGUUUUAUUAUAAGAGCUGUUCCCAAAGAGCCACAUGAGAAAGGAGAAGAGUCUUGUGUGGUCUCUACCUGCAUUAGUUCAGGAAUUUAUGUUAUGACCUGUAUUGAAGCUACAACCUAUUGAAAACAAAAUGGCCACAAGACAGUAAAAC
rnacentral:lncRNA from 1 species